CCAAAGUAGAUGCUCCCAGGAGGUCACGCUGUCCAGGCUUUGUCCAUGAUAUACAAUCCAUUUCUAUGACCUUGGAGAUGAAUCCAGGUCUGCAUAUGCUUACAGCUUUUCAGAGUCCUGUGGUCAAUUCUGUGGAGACAAUCCGCAGAAAACAGCG
rnacentral:snoRNA from 1 species